GAGGAACGCUAGGGGGAGGCCUCCCUCUUGCAAGCCGAGCGGUAUUGUUUCUUCGGAAAUGAGAGAGCGGCGUACGGGUGCGGAACACGUGUGCAACCUGCCUUUAUCUGGGGGAUAGCCUUUCAAAAGGAAAAUUAAUACUCCAUAACAUAUUGAUUGGCAUCAAUUAAUAUUGAAAGCUCCGGCGGAUAGAGAUGGGCACGCGCAAAAUUAGCUAGUUGGGGAGGUAACGGCUCACCAAGGCAAUGAUCUUUAGGGGGCCUGAGAGGGUGAUCCCCCACACUGGUACUGAAACACGGACCAAACUCCUACGGGAGGCAGCAGUGAGGAAUUUUGGUCAAGGGGUGCAAGCCUGAACCACCCAUCCCGCGUGAAGGACAACUGCCCUAUGGGUUGUAAACUUCUUUUGUAUAGGGAUAAACCUACCCUCGUGAGGGUAGCUGAAGGUACUAUACGAAUAAGCACCGGCUAACUCCGUGCCACCAC
rnacentral:rRNA from 1 species